rnacentral:misc_RNA from 1 species
AACCAUAGAAACCUGCGGAGUACCUGCGGAGGGAUCAUUACAGAGUUGCAAAACUCCCUAAACCAUUGUGAACCUACCUUCUACCGUUGCUUCGGCGGGCGGGCCUAGCGCCCCCCCGGCCCCCCGCGGGCGCCCGCCGGAGGAUAACCAAACUCUUGACAUCAGUGGCCUCUCUGAGUAUUCUUUACUGAAUAAGUCAAAACUUUUAGCAACGGAUCU